rnacentral:rRNA from 1 species
AGAUACCCCACUAUGCUUAGACAUUAACCCUGAUAGCCCCACUACCCGCUAUCCGCCAGAACACUACACGCGAAAAGCGUAAAACUCAAAGGACUUGACGGUAUCCCACAUCAACCUAGAGGAGCCUGUCCUAUAAUCGAUGACCCACGUUCCACCUCACCCGCCCUUGCACAAGCCAGCCUAUAUACCGCCGUCGCCAGCCUACCUUAUGAUAGACCCCCAGUAGGCGCAAUAGCCCCCGCUAAAACGUCAGGUCAAGGUGUAGCUAAUGCGCGGGAAGCGAUGGGCUACAUUUUCUAGCAUAGAAAACCAACCAACAGCGCCACGAAAACUCGCCAAAAGGAGGAUUUAGCAGUAAACAAGACAAACAUGUCCUAUUGAAGCCCGCCCUGGGAUGCGUACAC